CUGAAGGCCCGGUACAGGGAGGAAAGGAAUGGACGCGCCAGACCGUCAGCCCGGGCCUGCAGUAGACUUCUGGAGAGUAGACCAGCGGCGGCCGGCGAGGUCGGGAGCACCGGAGGAGGAGGGAGGACGGCCGGGCGGCGCUGUGUGUUUUCCGCCUCAUCCUUUCCGGUAGUCGGCACUCGGCGUGUGUACCGGCCGGGGCAUCCGCGGGCUCUCGUGUGGACGCCAUGGCUGCAAGGUGUUCGACGUAAUGCUCCCUGCUUCUGAUGGUGCUCACAGGACCCCAGCGAGGUACUUCUUUCGAUAAUACAUGGGCAAGACUGCAGGCAUUAUGAAGGUGCAGAGUGAGACAUGGAGUUGCCUUGUCUUCUCACCCUGAAAGGAGUUACCUUGAGUGGUGGGUGAUGAAGGAAUGUUUUCUUGCCAGGAUGCUUUCUCAUCUUCUGUCCACUUGUUUCAGGAAUCAGGGUUGAUGAAAUGAGGGAUACAAAGUGCAUACCGUGGCUUCACAUUAUAAUUCUUGUUCCAGAUAAGUUGCCUCGUGGCCAUGAAUCUCAUCCAAACCAGUAGUCCAGCAAGACCCAAUUGUCCCACAUCUUUUGCUUGUUCAACUAGGUCGGAUGCUAUAUUGAAUCUGUAGAGGAAUAACACCAGUUUAUUGAUCUACCAGAGAACUACCCGUGUUACUAUAGACUAUAGUCACCAUUUAGCAUUUUACCUAUGCAUAAAAGAUUUUUGGGCCUCUCCCUCUAGAUCGGCUAUUGUUUCUAGCAAAGCCUUUGCAGUCCCUUUACCAGCAUCACUACUAUCCUUCUGCUGCAUGGCAGGUAUGAGAUUUUGUUAGCACUUUUGAAGGAACUCUUGGCUAAUAUUGGGGAGAAAAUGAAAUAUGGUCGAAAGCUGAAGUGUAAAGUCACCUCUGAAGUCUUGGCAGCUCUCCUGCUAAAAUCAAGGUAAAAGUCAGAGGUAUUGUUCUUUAUCCAUGUUUGAUUAGACCGGAGGACAAAAGGCAUCCCCUUAUAGCUGUCGGCAUCAAGCUCUAUCUCCAGAACCUUGACAUGUCAAAAAGUUCCAUCAAAUGUAAACACCAUUACAAAGUGGAAACAAAUACUGCAAUGAUAAAUUAUGUUUACCUGGUAAUGCAAACCAUCUAGUUCAGCAUCAGAGAAUGAACUCUCACAUGCCAGUUCAAGCAAUGUCGAACCAGCAGGUGGCACACCUGGAGGAGGUGCCUGGAAAAAGUUUACAUGUUAGUCUCGUUGUUAAUCUUACCUGGAAUCUUGUGAUGAUUUUACCUUCCACUCUCCAGCCUUCUUUGCCAGUGCCCAGUGGAGAAUAAGUGGCUCGGCGUGAUUUGUGGCCAAGUGAACUUUGAACUUUCCUUGUACUUCUGACAUCGAUGCCUUCAAAAAGGGAGAAUAGUUUAGCCCGCAUUGCAAUAUGAGGCUAGAAGCAUAAGAUUAAGGUGUAGAAUAUCUAUCUGAACUAACCAUGAUCUCCUUUUCGCCCAGUUUGAAGACCUUUUUGCAGAGGACUUGGCAACCAUUCUUCUCUUGUAGUGACUUCAGGAAGAGAUCAAGAACCGUGGGAUUCCGAUCUGGAGUAGCUUCUGGUGCCUUAUUUACGUCAGUGGAACUGGAUGUGUGUUUACUGAGGAGUUGCAUGACAUCUCUGUUUUUGCGUGUGACCCUUUCAGAUGAGAAGUUUUGGUUUGUUGCUGCAGGAGCAGAAUGCUGUGCCUGAUGGUGGCCUGGUCGUAUAUGGAUUAGGAAGUUCUCGCCGUUAUUUUUGAACCUGUUCAAUGAAGAGGCAAGUAGGUUUGUUGGCAUCAUACACAUGGGUAAAGAUGUAAAACGGGACGACGAUCUUGAAUGCCACACUGACCAUUUGUUCUGUGCCUCAUCGACGAGAACAAACUCGAUUGAUUGGAGAGCUGGAUCGUCUAUCUCGAUUUUCAGUGUAGAAUUGGAACCAGACUGGUAUUCAGAAGACAAAAUAAGUCAGCAAAUAAAUUGAUGUAACAUCAGUUGAUCAUAAUCUCUGAGUAAGAAUUGACAUUUAUAAUUUGCGAGAGAAUUGAUAUUUAUUUUGGCAUGUACGCCAUUCCUAGUGUUGUCUAGCACACAGAUUCACAAGCAUGGGAACUUCGUUCAGCAUAAUUUCUAUGUAGGCUUCUACUAUUCGCAAAAAUUAUGACUUGCUAGCAACAUGUAAUCAAAGAUUUGUUGUAUAACAAAAAGUUGCUUUAUCAAAAAAAAAGACCAGUAUGGGGGCUUUUUAAUUAAGAAGGAGAAUGUGAGACAACAACAUUCUACCCAAGGUUCGCGUGGGUUAUGAGACGCCAUUGCGCUCUGGCCACUGGACUAGGAGUCCAUCCAUUGCGCUCUGGCCACUGGACUAGGAGUCCAUCCACAAAAUUACUUUAUCUUUUGUUUUGUAUAAGAAACUUGUACUAAGCGAGGGAUAAUUAAUAUGGAUUAGAGGGAGUACUCCAUCCGUACAUAAAUGCAAGUCUUUUUAAAGAUUUCAAUAUAGACUACAUAGGGAUGUAUAUAGACAUAUUUUAGGGCGUAGAUUCACUCAUUUUGCUCGGUAUGUAGUCCAUACUGAAAUCUCUAAAAAGACUUAUAUUUAGGAACAGAGGGAGUAUAUGGUAUUGUAUAAAAGAAAGUGCACUAUCUUUGACACUUUGUCAUGUAUUUACAAUAUUUGCAAUCUCUUACCUAACAUAGUGUUAAAUACGUUGUCAUGUAUAUGUUUGAUAGAUGUUGUGACCAUGUCUAAUGUGGUACUACCUCCGAAUACAUGACUCUAAAGAAAGCGUAAAAUAUAUAAAAGAACUUUGAUUAUUAAAAUAUUGUAAAGUGUUAACAUUGGUAAGGUAAAAAUCAC